rnacentral:rRNA from 1 species
GAUGAACGCUGGCGGCGUGCUUAACACAUGCAAGUCGAACGGUGAAGCCCAGCUUGCUGGGUGGAUCAGUGGCGAACGGGUGAGUAACACGUGAGCAACCUGCCCCUGACUCUGGGAUAAGCGCUGGAAACGGCGUCUAAUACUGGAUAUGAGACACCUCCGCAUGGGGUGUGUUUGGAAAGAUUUUUCGGUUGGGGAUGGGCUCGCGGCCUAUCAGCUUGUUGGUGCGGUAAUGGCUCACCAAGGCGUCGACGGGUAGCCGGCCUGAGAGGGUGACCGGCCACACUGGGACUGAGACACGGCCCAGACUCCUACGGGAGGCAGCAGGGGGGAAUAUUGCACAAUGGGCGGAAGCCUGAUGCAGCAACGCCGCGUGAGGGAGGACGGCCUUCGGGUUGUAAACCUCUUUUAGCAAGGAAGAAGCGUGAGUGACGGUACUUGCAGAAAAAGCGCCGGCUAACUACGUGCCAGCAGCCGCAGUAAGAC